rnacentral:rRNA from 1 species
UCACUGGGUUUAAAGGGUCCGUAGGCGGUUUAGUAAGUCAGUGGUGAAAGCCCAUCGCUCAACGGUGGAACGGCCAUUGAUACUGCUAGACUUGAAUUAUUAGGAAGUAACUAGAAUAUGUAGUGUAGCGGUGAAAUGCUUAGAGAUUACAUGGAAUACCAAUUGCGAAGGCAGGUUACUACUAAUGGAUUGACGCUGAUGGACGAAAGCGUGGGUAGCGAACAGGAUUAGAUACCCUGGUAGUCCACGCCGUAAACGAUGGAUACUAGCUGUUGGGAGCAAUCUCAGUGGCUAAGCGAAAGUGAUAAGUAUCCCACCUGGGGAGUACGUUCGCAAGAAUAAACUCAAAGGAAUUGACGGGGGCCCGCACAAGCGGGGAGCAUGUGGUUUAAUUCGAUGCUACGCGAGGAACCUUA